AGCUUGCUCCACCGGAAAAAGAGGAGUGGCGAACGGGUGAGUAACACGUGGGUAACCUGCCCAUCAGAAGGGGAUAACACUUGGAAACAGGUGCUAAUACCGUAUAACAAUCGAAACCGCAUGGUUUUGAUUUGAAAGGCGCUUUCGGGUGUCGCUGAUGGAUGGACCCGCGGUGCAUUAGCUAGUUGGUGAGGUAACGGCUCACCAAGGCGACGAUGCAUAGCCGACCUGAGAGGGUGAUCGGCCACAUUGGGACUGAGACACGGCCCAAACUCCUACGGGAGGCAGCAGUAGGGAAUCUUCGGCAAUGGACGAAAGUCUGACCGAGCAACGCCGCGUGAGUGAAGAAGGUUUUCGGAUCGUAAAACUCUGUUGUUAGAGAAGAACAAGGAUGAGAGUAACUGUUCAUCCCUUGACGGUAUCUAACCAGAAAGCCACGGCUAACUACGUGCCAGCAGCCGCGGUAAUACGUAGGUGGCAAGCGUUGUCCGGAUUUAUUGGGCGUAAAGCGAGCGCAGGCGGUUUCUUAAGUCUGAUGUGAAAGCCCCCGGCUCAACCGGGGAGGGUCAUUGGAAACUGGGAGACUUGAGUGCAGAAGAGGAGAGUGGAAUUCCAUGUGUAGCGGUGAAAUGCGUAGAUAUAUGGAGGAACACCAGUGGCGAAGGCGGCUCUUUGGUCUGUAACUGACGCUGAGGCUAGAAAGCGUGGGGAGCAAACAGGAUUAGAUACCCUGGUAGUUCACGCCGUAAACGAUGAGUUAUAAGUGUUGGAGGGUUCCGCCCUUCAGUGCUGCAGCUAACGCAUUAAGCACUCCGCCUGGGGAGUACGACCGCAAGGUUGAAACUCAAAGGAAUUGACGGGGGCCCGCACAAGCGGUGGAGCAUGUGGUUUAAUUUGAAGCAACGCGAAGAACCUUACCAGGUCUUGACAUCCUUUGACCACUCUAGAGAUAGAGCUUCCCCUUCGGGGGCAAAGUGACAGGUGGUGCAUGGUUGUCGUCAGCUCGUGUCGUGAGAUGUUGGGUUAAGUCCCGCAACGAGCGCAACCCUUAUUGUUAGUUGCCAUCAUUUAGUUGGGCACUUUAGCAAGACUGCCGGUGACAAACCGGAGGAAGGUGGGGAUGACGUCAAAUCAUCAUGCCCCUUAUGACCUGGGCUACACACGUGCUACAAUGGGAAGUACAAUGAGUCGCAAAGUCGCGAGGUUAAGCUAAUCUUUUAAAGCUUCUCUCAGUUCGGAUUGUAGGCUGCAACUCGCCUACAUGAAGCCGGAAUCGCUAGUAAUCGCGGAUCAGCACGCCGCGGUGAAUACGUUCCCGGGCCUUGUACACACCGCCCGUCACACCACGAGAGUUUGUAACACCCGAAGUCGGUGAGGUAACCUAUUGGAGCCAGCCGCCUAAGGUGGAUUUGAUAUGUCCAAA
rnacentral:rRNA from 1 species